GGAAAGUGGGCAACUUUUACAACCAAUGGUUUUACCCCUAGAGGCCAAUUUUUGUAUUUACACACCUAAAAUGACCUUACUCUUUGCAAUAGCUUUUUCAAUGAAAAUCAGAGAAACCUUAAACCAAAUAUAUCCAUUAGAGGAGGAGAGUAUGGAUCUUGUAAUACAUAACACAUAGUACAUUUUUUUUGUUUUUUUUAAUAAAGUUUUUUUCCUGUAAUAAUACUGAUGAAAAUAUAACUUUGCAAUUAAACUAGAGUGGAUUACAGACCAGUGGCUUUGACGUCUCAUCUGAUGAAGACGAUGGAGAGGCUGGUGCUCACUCAUCUUUGUCCCAUGUGCUUUUAAUACCAUCCAUUCAACCAUCACUCCUGAGGGAUAAGCUGGAGAACAUGGGCGUGGACCAACAUCUGUGUGCAUGGAUUCUGGAUUAUCUCUCACACCGCCUGCAGUAUGUCAGGGCUGACCGCUGUGAGUCUGACAAGGAACAGUUCAGGCCCGUUUCUUUUCACUGCCUACACUGCAGACUUCAUGUACAACUCCGGUUCCGUUUAUCUACAGAAGUUCUCGGAUGACUCUGCCAUUGUCGGCUUGAUUCAGGAUGACGAUAACAGAGUACAGAGAUGUGAUCCAGAGCUUUGUGGAUUGGUGCUAGCGGAACCACCUGCAGAUCAAUGCAGGGAAAACAAAGGAGCUGGUGGUGGACUUCCAGAGGCACUCCCACUCUACACCAACUGUGGUGGACAUCCAGGGAAUGGACAUUGAAAUAGUGGAGUCCUACAAGUACCUGGGUGUUCACCUGAACAAUAAGCUGGACUGGUCCGACAACACUAACGCACUCUACAAAAAAGGGCAGAGCAGACUAUUCCUGCUGCGGAGACUGAGAUCAUUUGGAGUCCAGGGAACACUCCUAAAGACCUUCUAUGACUCUGUGGUGGCUUCAGCCAUCUUUUAUGGAGUGGUCUGCUGGUGCAGCAGCAUCUCCACAGCAGACAGGAGGAACUUGGUGAGGAAGGCCAGCUCAGUUCUGGGGCUGCCGCUUUAGUCUGUGCAGGAGGUGGGGGAAAGGAGGAUGUUUGCCAAGCUAGCAUCCCUGAUGAGCAACGACGCCCAUCCCCUCGGUGACACGGUGCUGGCUCUAAGCAGCUCUUUUAGCCACAGAAUGAUCCACCCCAGGUGGUCAUUCCUACCGGCUGCAGUGACACUGUUCAAUCUGAGCUGCCCCUAGUUAUACUUUCCUGGGAUGUUGAUACCAUCAGCCAGUUUAUUUUUUAUUUUUAUCAUCACUUUAUUACUACUCAAUUCAAGUCACUUUACAAUAUUUUGUGCAAUUUCUGUAACACUAAUCAUAUCCACAGUUCAAAUGCUUCCUCUUUUCAUUUUUCUUUUGUAUUUUUAUUUACGCACAUUGUUAUCUUUUAAAUAUCUUUUUGAUUUUUCUUUAUCUGUAAAGCUGCUGUAACCUGGAAAUUUCCCCACCGGGGGACAAAUAAAGGACUAUCUUAUCUA